rnacentral:rRNA from 1 species
CAGUNNACGAGAGAGAGCUUGCUUCUCUUUUAGUGGCGAACGGGUNNNUAAUACAUAAGCAACCUACCCAUUUGACCGGGAUAACAGUUGGAAACGACUGCUAAUACCGGAUAGGUGACCGGGGGACAUCCCCUGAUCAUUAAAGCUGGGACACAGCACGAAUGGAUGGGCUUAUGGCGCAUUAGUUAGUUGGCGGGGUAACGGCCCACCAAGACGAUGAUGCGUAGCCGACCUGAGAGGGUGACCGGCCACACUGGGACUGAGACACGGCCCAGACUCCUACGGGAGGCAGCAGUAGGGAAUUUUCGGCAAUGGGCGCAAGCCUGACCGAGCAACGCCGCGUGAGUGAAGAAGGCCUUCGGGUUGUAAAGCUCUGUUGUAAGGGAAGAAUGGCCAAGAGAGGGAAUGCUCUUGGAGUGACGGUACCUUACCAGAAAGCCACGGCUAACUACGUGCCAGCAGCCGCGGUAAUACGUAGGUGGCAAGCGUUAUCCGGAAUUAUUGGGCGUAAAGGGAGCGUAGGCGGCUUGAUAAGUCUGAGGUGAAAGUUCGGGGCUCAACUCCGGAUUGCCUUAGAAACUGUCAGGCUAGAGUGCAGGAGAGGGCAAUGGAAUUCCAUGUGUAGCGGUAAAAUGCGUAGAUAUAUGGAGGAACACCAGUGGCGAAGGCGGUUGCCUGGCCUGUAACUGACGCUGAGGCUCGAAAGCGUGGGGAGCAAAUAGGAUUAGAUACCCUAGUAGUCCACGCUGUAAACGAUGAUUACUAAGUGUUGGAGCAAUUCAGUGCUGCAGUUAAC